rnacentral:rRNA from 1 species
AACGCUAGCUACAGGCUUAACACAUGCAAGUCGAGGGGCAGCAUGCAGGAAGCUUGCUUCCUGUGAUGGCGACCGGCGGAUGGGUGAGUAACGCGUAUCCAACCUGCCCCGUGCUCGGGGACAGCCCUUAGAAAUGAGGAUUGACCCCCGAUGGCGUGGAAUUCCCGCAUGGGAUUUCCACUAAAGUUUACGGCACGGGAUGGGGAUGCGUUCCAUUAGAUUGUAGGCGGGGCAACGGCCCACCUAGUCUACGAUGGAUAGGGGUUCUGAGAGGAAGGUCCCCCACAUUGGAACUGAGACACGGUCCAAACUCCUACGGGAGGCAGCAGUGAGGAAUAUUGGUCAAUGGGCGCGAGCCUGAACCAGCCAAGUAGCGUGGAGGAUGAAUGCCCUACGGGUUGUAAACUCCUUUUGGCGGAGGGUAACGUGCGCCACGUGUGGUGCAGUGCAGGUAUCCGCCGAAUAAGGGCCGGCUAAUUCCGUGCCAGCAGCCGCGGUAAUACGGAAGGCCCGAGCGUUAUCCGGAUUUAUUGGGUUUAAAGGGAGCGUAGGCGGGAGCUCAAGUCAGCUGUGAAACUGCGCCGCUCAACGGCGCCGAGCAGUUGAAACUGGGUUUCUUGAGUCCGCAAGAGGUGCGUGGAAUUCGGAGUGUAGCGGUGAAAUGCAUAGAUAUCACCCCUAAAAACGAUUG